CAGCAUCAGUCAGAGUGUUAUGUAAUGACCGUGGAUAAACUCCAUGGCGGGAUUCAUGUGGGGAAGUGUGGGAUGGUCAAUUAGGAAAGCACAGAAUUCCUUGAGUGUGUAGGUUGUGGAACAUGCACGUCUUGCAUAAAUGUAUCACUUUAACCAGUUAAGGGAUUUAGGAUGAAGCACAGUCUCCUGGCUAGUCUCUGUGUGGUUUAGGGUGAUGUCCCUUUAAGAUUUAUAAGGAUCUGGGAGUGGCGUGGAUAGGAAACCUAUUUUUAUCCCAUAUUUCCUUCCUUGUGUUAAUUAACCAGACCCAGACUAACGAAUUACAGCCCAAAUUAACAGUUUGAGCAUUCCGAUUCAGUAUACAUGCACAAAAAAGAAAAGGUGAAGCAGAGAAGUAUUUACAUUUGUGCUCGGAUAAUACUCACCAUGGCUGGCCUUUGAGCUUUUGAGAUAACUUUGGAAAAGUAUUUGGAAUAAUCUGACAGUUUAACCAACAAGCUGAAUAUUUGAUUUGGGCAGAGAUCACUGGCUGAGGACCUUCAGUGAUAAAUUUCACUCCUGUGCUUCACGACAUCUAAUGCAAAUCCUGAAACUGAACUUUCUCUGGACGUUCCUGAAUGACACCUUAUCUCCUCCAUUCACCUCCAUCAUCCUGCAUGCUGCCUGUCACGAUGCUGGGCUUCCUCAUGCUCAUCUUUUCACUGUGUGGAGCUACAGUAGCAUUACUUACCUGCAACUGACAUGAAAACAAUGAAAGGAUCAUCACACAGCCCUUCAAUGACACAACCAAAACACCAGUAAAUAAGUCCUCUAUUCUGAGAGUCAACAUCACCAGAGAGAAAAAUGUAGUUGAGUUCAGAUGUGACGCUCAGCUGGAAUUUGGACUGCGUGGACCAAAACUUCAUGCCGUUUCUCAAACACACAGUGUUUCAGACCACUAUGCUCUAGAACUAAAGACAAAAAACAGUACUCAUGUCAUGUCUUCAAGUGAGGGCACUAAUAUUAUGUUGACCUGUGAAGCUGUGGGAAACCCUCAUCCUGUCUAUAACUGGACUUGUGAUGGGGAAAAUAUGUUGGAGAACACAAACAGUCUCAAUAUCACCCUAGUAAAACACAACACAACCUGCACCUGCACAGCUACCAGUUAUCUAGGAAACAUAACUAAGACAUUCCAUGUUCAUGCUGAACCAAGAGGUUGCCCUUUAACACUGACAGCUUCUGAAAUUGUUGUGAAAUUUGGAGAUCCAAUUUCAAUCAACUGCAGCACAUCAGCCACAGAUGUCGAAGGAAUGGGCUGGGAGGCUCCAUUUGGAGGAACAGGAUUUGAACGUCCUCCUGUUGUCACUUGGAGGGUUGACCAAGUGGAAGAGUGGACUCCAAGCCCUUCCUGCUAUGCUACUUUGGUUGAUGGAUCCCAGUGUACUGUGAGUCCACUCAUCACUGUUUAUAAAACUCCAGACUUUGUGUCAGUGUCUGACAUGGAUCAUGGUCCGAUGGUGGAGGGCAGAGAGUACGAUCUGAAAUGUGAUGUCAUCAGUGUGGCUCCUGUACAGAAUCUCACAGUGACGUGGUACAGAGGCAAUGAAACUGUGCAAACAGAGACAUUUAAUCACUUCAAUAUGACUCCAGUAAACACAUCUUCUACUCUGAGAAUCUCCCCUAAGAGAGAUUACAGUGGAUUAACUUUUAGAUGUGAGGCUGAGCUGCACCUCGGACCCAAAGGACCACAGUUCCUCCCUAAUAUAUGUUCACCACCUUACACUGCUGUUGUUCUCUAUGCCCCUGAAUUCAAGGAAGGAAAUGAAAGCAAGGAGGUGCUCCAGGGUGAGGAUGUUACUUUAAGCUGUAGUGCUGACAGUAACCCGCCCUCAAACAUCAGAUGGAUCUACACAGCUGCUGUAAAUUCAAACGUGACCACUGAGGGACAACAGAAGAUUAUCAGUAUCACAGGAGUCACGUCUGCCAAUGCAGGCAUUUACAUUUGUGUUGCAGAGAAUGAAGCUGGGAGAAAUACACGAUUCAUCUCACUGGUGAUUAAAGAUAAAGUCCCUUUGCUAGUCAUUGGAGUGUUGCUCGCUGUAUUUGCCAUUGGCCUCAUCGUCCUCCUGGUCUUUAUUUACUAUAGAAACAGGCAUUUUUUUCUUGACACAGUAUCACAUGCCACAGAUGUCCCUCUUACACCAGCCAGUAGUAAUGCUUAGGAUAUUUCCUGCAUUAUGAAAAAUGAAGUAAAAUUUUAAUUGCAUAUGUAAUUUAUGAUUUUUCCUACAAGUCAAUCAAUAAUAUUGUAUAAAUGUACAUUUAAUUUUUCCAUAAAUUAAUUCCUUGAAUUAAACAACUUCAUAUACCAGAAAACAAAUAGCAGAAAUAUCUAAAAUAAUAGGAAGGUUAUGCUUCAGCGAUAAUAAUGUUAUGUACAUGUCUGCUAAACAGUGCACGAAACUGCUGUAAAAACAAUUAACAUUAAGCAAUAUUAUGUCUUAUGUUUGAAUUAAUUUUUUUUAUUGUUUUUAUGUUUUUUGACUCACAGUUCAUUUUAAUUGUGAAAUAUUAAAAGCACAAAGUGUA